UUCCUGCUGCGCGCACCUUAAACGGUGUCUAGACCCUCUUCCUUCCUGUGGGCUCCCUAUUUCCCUGGAUGUGCUUCAUAUUGCUGUUUAUUUACCUGAUUAUAUUGUUUGGUUUCCGCCUGAAUUAUUUAACUGAGUGACAUUACUACAUUUGCGUCCUCGUAUUGAAGUUGUAUAGUUGAAUUUCGCGAGGGAAGGAAGGUUUUUUUUCUCAGAGCGGUACAGAAAAUGAAUUUAUUAGGAUACUCCUGCCUCCUGUACUACUUUAGCUUUGCACACUCGUUACAGGUCUCGCCAAACAGCAGUGUCAAUGAGGCAGACAACAUUAUGGUGAAAACAAGAGCAGAUUCGUCGUUUGGGAAAAGUGAUGAAAGUUAUGAGUUCCUAAGUGCGCCACUCCGAAUACGUUUUUACAGACUGCCAAAACUUUCAGAGGUGAUUGACGUCGGACGAUAUGCAAAAACUAGAGAUAGCAUAGGUUCCCCGGCAGCAAGGAUGUUUCUGCCAAGUAUCAAGCGAAUCAACCAAUUCAAGAGUGAGUAUGUAUUAAAAUGUUUGAUGACGGACAGACUCACGCCUCGAGACACAGAAGAGGAAGGCUUGGAUGACGUGGCUUCUGAAAUGAUCGAGGAAGAGAAACCUCCGAUCAGAAUCCAUUUCCCAAGGACAUUGCAUAAGAGGCUGAGUUAUACACCCUCUCGGUCAUCAGAGAUUUCAGGUAUGGAGGCCGAGCCACCUUCGAAGCGGGACCCGAACUCGUGGAUCUACUGGAUUUUAUCGAAUAACAAGAACGCCCGCUCUAAGGAGCAGAAGUAAGCCAAGCCCUUGCUCACGAGAAAUGUCGUAUGUUUGCUUUACGCGGGAUCUCCUCUCCCAUCCAAUUAGAGGCAGGUCAGAUCAUCCUCUCCAUUCCGAACCUCAGCAUUUUACGCCACUAUGGGGUAAUCUGACAUCUUUGAGUUUUCUGUUUCCUCAUUCCCAGAAUUUGGACAAUGUAUAUUGAAAUUGUUAAACAGCGGAAUUCAUUUGAAUGAACAUUAAAUAGUAACAGAUUUAUCUCCUAACAGUGUAAAUAUAAAUAAAGUAAGCACGAUGAAUCUAAUUCUGUUGAAUAUUUUAUCAUCUCUUAACUGAGAAAGAUCAAAUUUCUUUCGCAACACUAAAGUACUUAUAUUAAAUUUCACGUUUGCUAUAGUUACACAGAACAAAAUAGUUGUGGUGAUGAGAGGUAUACCUAUAAUUAUGUCCUUCUCUUAUCAGUACAGAACAAAGUUGCCUAUUUUUCGGAGAAUUCAUUUAAUUUGAAAUUUUUUGCGUUAUUUGAUUUGACAAAAAAUGUUUCGAGGAAUAAAAAAUAAAAUCAUCUUGAAUUUUU